rnacentral:rRNA from 1 species
UACGUAGGGCGCAAGCGUUGUCCGGAAUUAUUGGGCGUAAAGAGCUCGUAGGCGGUCUGUCGCGUCGGAUGUGAAAGCCCGGGGCUUAACCCCGGGUCUGCAUUCGAUACGGGCAGACUAGAGUGUGGUAGGGGAGAUCGAAUUCCUGGUGUAGCGGUGAAAUGCGCAGAUAUCAGGAGGAACACCAGUGGCGAAGGCGGCCUCUGGACUAUAACUGACGCUGAGGCGCGAAAGCUAGGGGAGCAAACGGG